rnacentral:rRNA from 1 species
UGGGGAAUAUUGCACAAUGGGCGCAAGCCUGAUGCAGCCAUGCCGCGUGUAUGAAGAAGGCCUUCGGGUUGUAAAGUACUUUCAGUCGGGAGGAAGGUGGUAAGGUUAAUAACCUUAUCAAUUGACGUUACCGACAGAAGAAGCACCGGCUAACUCCGUGCCAGCAGCCGCGGUAAUACGGAGGGUGCAAGCGUUAAUCGGAAUUACUGGGCGUAAAGCGCACGCAGGCGGUUGAUUGAGUCAGAUGUGAAAUCCCCGGGCUUAACCCGGGAAUUGCAUCUGAUACUGGUCAGCUAGAGUCUUGUAGAGGGGGGUAGAAUUCCAUGUGUAGCGGUGAAAUGCGUAGAGAUGUGGAGGAAUACCGGUGGCGAAGGCGGCCCCCUGGAUAAAGACUGACGCUCAGGUGCGAAAGCGUGGGGAGCAAACAGG